rnacentral:ncRNA from 1 species
UAAUCGAAAUGGCACACUUAUUGAAAGAUAAGGUCGCAAAGCCACGGGCCUAAGGCAAUGAGCUAGGGUAGCCGGGCUGCCGAA